UACAGAGGGUGCGAGCGUUGUCCGGAAUCACUGGGCGUAAAGGGCGCGUAGGCGGCCCGGUAAGGUUGCGGUGAAAGCCCGGGGCUCAACCCCGGGUCGGCCGUGGCAACUGCUGGGCUGGAGCACAGUAGAGGCGGGUGGAAUUCCGGGUGUAGCGGUGGAAUGCGUAGAGAUCCGGAAGAACACCGGUGGCGAAGGCGGCCCGCUGGGCUGUUGCUGACGCUGAGGCGCGACAGCGUGGGGGAGCAAAC
rnacentral:rRNA from 1 species